AUUGAACGCUGGCGGCAUGCUUUACACAUGCAAGUCGAACGGUAACAGGCCUUCGGGUGCUGACGAGUGGCGAACGGGUGAGUAAUGCAUCGGAACGUACCCAGAGGUGGGGGAUAACGCAGCGAAAGCUGUGCUAAUACCGCAUGUGAUCUGAGGAUGAAAGCGGGGGACCGAGCAGCAAUGUUUGGCCUCGCGCCUUUGGAGCGGCCGAUGUCGGAUUAGCUAGUUGGUGGGGUAAAGGCCUACCAAGGCGACGAUCCGUAGCUGGUCUGAGAGGACGACCAGCCACACUGGGACUGAGACACGGCCCAGACUCCUACGGGAGGCAGCAGUGGGGAAUUUUGGACAAAGGGCGCGAGCCUGAUCCAGCAAUGCCGCGUGCGGGAAGAAGGCCUUCGGGUUGUAAACCGCUUUUGGCAGGAACGAAACGGUGUCCGCUAAUACCGGGCGCUAAUGACGGUACCUGCAGAAUAAGCACCGGCUAACUACGUG
rnacentral:rRNA from 1 species